ACAGCAGUAGCCGCGGGAAUACGGAGGAUCCAAGCGUUAUCCGGAAUCAUUGGGUUUAAAGGGUCCGUAGGCGGUCUUGUAAGUCAGUGGUGAAAGCCCAUCGCUCAACGGUGGAACGGCCAUUGAUACUGCAGGACUUGAAUUAUUGGGAAGUAACUAGAAUAUGUAGUGUAGCGGUGAAAUGCUUAGAGAUUACAUGGAAUACCAAUUGCGAAGGCAGGUUACUACCAAUUGAUUGACGCUGAUGGACGAAAGCGUGGGUAGCGAACAGGAUUAGAGACCCCCGUAGUCCCUGUCUCUUAUAA
rnacentral:rRNA from 1 species